CCUACGGGUGGCAGCAGUGGGGAAUAUUGCACAAUGGGGGCAACCCUGAUGCAGCGACGCCGCGUGAGUGAAGAAGUAAUUCGUUAUGUAAAGCUCUAUCAGCAGGGAAGAAAAUGACGGUCCCUGAGUCAGAUGCCUCGGCUAACUACGUGCCAGCAGCCGCGGUAAUACGUAGGGGGCAAGCGUUAUCCGGAUUUACUGGGUGUAAAGGGAGCGUAGACGGAAUUGCAAGUCUGGAGUGAAAGGCGGGGGCUUAACUCGCGAACUGCUCUUGAAACUGUACGGCUUGAGAGGAGGAGAGGUAAGCGGAAUUCCUAGUGUAGCGGUGAAAUGCUUAGAUAUUAGGAGGAACACCAGUGGCGAAGGCGGCUUACUGGUCUAUAACUGACGUUGAGGCACGAAAGCGUGGGGAGCAAACAGGAUUAGAUACCCGGGUAGUC
rnacentral:rRNA from 1 species